CUUAUAAUAAAGCUCAUCGAUCAGCUGUUCGCUGUCGCGGCGUAGACUGGAGUUAAGUGCGUUGCCAGGAGGUCCUGUUCGCCUCCUGAGAGACCACCACCGCGAGGUUUAAUUAUUUAGCCAGCCAGCUGUUCUGGAGCUGAAUGGAGAAUAGCUUCAUUUGUUCAUUGACGGGAAAUAAAUAACAAGAAUGUUAGUAAUAAGCAAAAUGCGAAAACAAAGACUGCUCCAGAUUCUCACUAUUGUUUUCAUUGUAUUUUCUUUCACCCUGACAGGUAAAUAAGUUGACUGAAUUAUCCAGAGGGAUGUGCACAUAAGAAUAAGUAUAAAAUAUUAAUCACGUGAUUCAGUGACAUUAUGGUCACAGAAUAAGUCCAGCUGAAAUAAGGCUUGAACCUGAAUUCCAAUGCGGAAUGUUCGACCCGUGAGCACACGUGGACAAAGUCCAGCAAGGCUUCCUGCACUCACAUGUGGUGAAGUCUGACCUGCUGACAGAGUCAUUCAAUCUUUACACACGUGGCUCCAGGUCCUUGUCAUGCAGCGCUAAACAAACACGACAGUAACUCAUGCUCCUGCUGCAAAGGAGGCAGGAGGCAGCCCCUCGCUGCAGAUGAGGCUGCUUUUGUCUAAUCUCGUCUAUCAGACGCUUCAGAUAUUCUUGCAGGAGAUUCUGGCCAGAUUCAUUCAUAUUUGUAACUACUGUUUCUUACUUGGGAGUAAAGCUUCCAGCCUUUUUGGACCUCUGGGUAAAUGUGGACAUAAGCUGCAUGCAGGCACGUUCGGAGCGUGUGUGUGUGUGUGUGUGUGUGUGUGUGUGUGUGUGUGUGUGUGGUGGGGGGAUGGUCUUGGGGAUUUUUGGGGCUCAAUCCUUAAAGAUAACAGUAGGUAAACUGUAGGCAUUUUUCAUAAUUGUUUGUAAUAAUAGUAGUAUUAAGUCCAGGGUAAUUUCAUUAAUUUUACAUUGAAGCAUCCUUACACAGAUGGCGGUGACAUCACACCUUAAGACAAACUAUCCCAUUCUUCCAGCUGUUUCUCUUGAUCAAACUGGCUCAACAGCACUGCUCCAUAUUUACCUCCUUGCUAUGCGACAGUGAUGAGAGGAGGAGGAGAGCGAGACGUGAACAGAACAUGAGGAUGGACAAGAGGGACACGCUGGUUAAUCUCAGCCCACCCGGCUCAGCUUAAACUCUGAGUCAGGACCCUGUCAUUCCUCUCCUUCCCAGGCUAUUGUAGACACUCUCUCCAGCGGACGCUGGGAGCUGUUAAGCUGGCAACUGGGAACCCAAGAGCCUGGUGUCACAUGAGAGGCCUGGCUGGAGUCACAGCGGCCCAGGAAACUAUUCUUAGCUGCAGGAAUGUACACAGUGGCCUCAUGGCGAGCUCCACAGAGCCUCACUGGAAAGCCUCAUCCUCUCCCUGUGUCAGAACCCUUCACUCGCCCCGGCAGUGCGGACGUUCUCUCUGGACUGUGUUUGAUUAGGUCGGAAGCGACUGUUUCCUCAGAGCAGGAGGAUCAUCAGACACUUACAUCGGACUCGGAGCUGUCUAGCUCGGCCAGCGUGGGUGCUCUGAGCAGCCUUUUCCUUUGGCUGAGCGGCUGAACACCCUGACUGGACCCCACCGCUCCACUGGCCAGAGACUGCGUGCUGACCGCCAACUUCCUGCGUGCAUCAGGAGUGUCUGGGGGUGGAAGCAAGAGGACGGCUUCUGCGGAUCAUGUCCGGCGAUACAGGCCUGAGCUUCCGUUCAGCUUUGAUGUCCUCCAGCAGCCGCUCAUGGAGACUCCUGGGUCGUGGAGGAUGGGGCUUCAGCUUACGGGCAGAGACCUGUGAUGACUCCCAUGUUAGCAAGUUGGCUUUUACUCCUUAAGUGUGUUUUCACUAUGGUCGUGUACUUAAAAAAAAAUGAAUGAAUACAUACAUGUUGACCAUAUUGUACUAUCAUUUGUGGCUAUAGUCUGAAUCAACCUUAGAACUGAGGGUUUAACUGAAUUGUGUUCUGGGAGAUGAGCGGUGCUGUGUGGUGCACUGCUUACAGGGUUGAGAGGAGGCCGGGACCUGAUGAAUUCAAGGAUGAUUUCAUGGGCGCUCUUCUUUAACCUUGGGGGAAUGUCUCCAUUAACCUGGAAAGACAUUCAUGCCCUUGUCAAAGUUGAAAAAGCUCCAGAAAGAGAACACAUUAAAAAGCUUGAAACUA